GUGUGUUUAUGUUUAGAUCUAAGUGUGCAUACAGCUUUCAUUGAUUACAUUAAUAAUUAUGUCAAUGUGAGGUCCCCAAAAUGCUAGUACAAGAGAGAGUGUGUGUGUGUGUGUGUGUGUGUGUGUGUGUGUGUGUGUGUGUGUGUGUGUGAGAGAGAGCAAGAGACAGAAAGAUAUUUUAAUAUCCUGGUGGGGACAUGUAGUAGCAAUAAUAUAGGAAUAUCAUCUACCAGUUUUUAUUUUGCUACAAAAACUGCAGGUUACAUUUUUUAGUAUUUAUGGUAGUGGUUUAGGUGUUGAAUUCUUUAGUAAACUAUGUUAAAUUAAUUAUUAUUAAAAUGGAAAGUCCUCAUUA